GUCCUACGGGAGGCAGCAGUGGGGAAUAUUGCACAAUGGGCGGAAGCCUGAUGCAGCGACGCCGCGUGAGGGAUGACGGCCUUCGGGUUGUAAACCUCUUUCCGCACGGAAGAAGCGAGAGUGACGGUACGUGCAGAAGAAGCGCCGGCUACCUACGUGCCAGCAGCCGCGGUAAUACGUAGGGCGCAAGCGUUGUCCGGAAUUAUUGGGCGUAAAGAGCUCGUAGGCGGUUUGUCGCGUCUGCUGUGAAAGCCCGGGGCUUAACCCCGGGCGUGCGGUGGGUACGGGCAGCCUUGAGUGCAGUG
rnacentral:rRNA from 1 species